rnacentral:rRNA from 1 species
AGCGAACGCUGGCGGCAGGCCUAACACAUGCAAGUCGAACGAACCCUUCGGGGUUAGUGGCGGACGGGUGAGUAACACGUGGGAACGUGCCUUUAGGUUCGGAAUAACUCAGGGAAACUUGUGCUAAUACCGAAUGUGCCCUUCGGGGGAAAGAUUUAUCGCCUUUAGAGCGGCCCGCGUCUGAUUGGCUAGUUGGUGAGGUAAUGGCUCACCAAGGCUACGAUCAGUAGCUGGUCUGAGAGGAUGACCAGCCACAUUGGGGCUGAGACACGGCCCAAACUCCUACGGGAGGCAGCAGUGGGGAACCUUGCGCAAUGGGCGAAAGCCUGACGCAGCCAUGCCGCGUGGAUGAUGAAGGUCUUAGGAUUGUAAAAUCCUUUCACCGGUGAAGAUAAUGACUGUAGCCGGAGAAGAAGCCCCGGCUAACUUCGUGCCAGCAGCCGCCGUAAGAC